UCGCUGCCCGGAACUGAGCCGUUUCGAGAAAGCUGGGGACCGACGACUUGUGGGUGCGCAAGCACUUCUAGUCGAUGGAAACCAGUUUAAUCGGUAUGGCUUGAACCGGGCAA
rnacentral:rRNA from 1 species